UAACUGCAUAGCUACAUGCAAGAGAAUGAAUUCGGACUCUGUCUCUUUCUCACCACACACACGUGCACACAAGCACACACACACACGCACAAAUAGCUCAGGAUAGGUCUAAGACCUAAGUGCAAAAGCUAAAGCUAUCAUAAUUUUAGAAUAAAACAUAGGGUAAAUUUUCAUGAUCAUGGAUUAGGCACUGUUUUCUUAGAUACGACAAAAGCACAAGGAACAAAAGAAGAAACUGAUAAAUUGGGCAUAAGCAAACCUAAAAACUUUUUUUCUUCAAAGGACACCAUCGGGCUUUAGCUCAGUGGUGCCGCGUUGGCCUUGCAAGGGCAAGGUUCUGAGUUCGAUGCCCAGUACCAAAAAAAAAAAAAGGACACCAGCAAGGAAGUGAAAAGACAAUCACAGAAACUUUCUGCGAGCCAGAUGCAAGCGUUCUGUGUUUCUCUGCAUCCUGCUCCAGAAAUGCCCCACGAACGCGGCUGUCUUGACCGCACUGCCCCAUGCAGCUUCAGUGCGUCCUGAGCUCUCUAAAGCAGCUCCCUUCACCCCUGGGGACCUGCGUAGGGCUCGCAGGACCCCGUGCACGGCCACCACCCCGGGCAGAGGGAUCUAGACCUGACUUGGAAGCCAGCGCCCUUGCACCUUGUGGAGGUCCACAUGCACAGCCAGGCUGCAGUCGAUUCCCUCCUGUUCCUCCCUCGCUGGGCUGUGUGUGCGCAUGCGUAAGGUUGCAGGUACUGGGUAAUUUGUCCCAGCUAUAUGAUCACCUUCAAGGCCAUGUGCAACAGUGAGAGGAAAAACAGGGAAAAAAAUCUAAAAGCAAUUCUUUUAGCAAUAAAAUUUGCUUAUACUGAGAUAAAUAUGUGUUUAAUUUGAAGCCUGAUUUAAACCCAAGCAAUGGAGAGAUGACUUUCCGCAUAUCUGAGAAUGAGGUUUAUGCAGCCAUUUGAUAGACAGUAUUGAGAAA
rnacentral:lncRNA from 1 species